ACAAAAAGUUGGACACAACUGAAGUGACUUAGCACAGCACAGCAGCAUACUUGUUUAAGGCAUACAAGAUCCUAGUUCUCUGGCCAAGGAUGGAAGCCACAGUCUCCUGCAUUAGAAGCAUGGAGUCUCAACCACCGGACCACCAAGGAAGUCUCAGACAGCUGGUUAUUUUAGAGGAAGGAUUAUUCAGACUUCAUGAUGGGGAAACCCUAAAUGGAAGCGUCUAGAUUCAAUCCUAAAGUGUAAGUGCAUAUUAUUUUUGCAAAUUUCCAGAUGUCUUGGUUUGUCCACUGAAAUUCUGACUGUUGAACUAGAUAGGUAAAUACCUGCCAAAGCAGAUUGUGUGAUCUUAAGCAAUUUUCAGGAUGGAAAAUAUCAAUUGCUCAAGCUAGAAGGGAAAAGGAAUGAACAUUCAUAGGGUGCUUACUAUGUGCUGGUUGUUUUAUACAUAUUAUCUCACUGGAUCAUCACAAGAAUCCUGGGAAGUAGGAGUUACACCCAUUGAGAUUCAGAGCAGUUACCUGUUGUAUUUUUUUAGCUUACUGUAAUUUUGGCCAAGGUCACAAAUCUAUUAAAAUAAUAAAAAAUUA